rnacentral:rRNA from 1 species
UUGGUUAAGUUAGAAAGGGCGCACGGUGGAUGCCUUGGCACUAGGAGCCGAAGAAGGACGGGACUAACACCGAUAUGCUUUGGGGAGCUGUACGUAAGCGUUGAUCCAGAGAUUUCCGAAUGGGGGAACCCACUAUCUUUAGUCGGAUAGUAUCCUUACGUGAAUACAUAGCGUGAGGAAGGCAGACCCAGGGAACUGAAACAUCUAAGUACCUGGAGGAAGAGAAAGAAAAAUCGAUUUCCUGAGUAGCGGCGAGCGAAACGGAAAGAGCCCAAACCAAGAAGCUUGCUUCUUGGGGUUGUAGGACACUCUAUACGGAGUUACAAAAGAAAGUUAUAAAUGAAGCGGUCUGGAAAGGCCCGCCAAAGACGGUAACAGCCCGGUAGUUGAAAUGGCUUUCCCUCCAGAGUGGAUCCUGAGUACGGCGGAACACGUGAAAUUCCGUCGGAAUCCGGGAGGACCAUCUCCCAAGGCUAAAUACUCCCUAGUGACCGAUAGUGAACCAGUACCGUGAGGGAAAGGUGAAAAGCACCCCGGAAGGGGAGUGAAACAGUUCCUGAAACCGUGUGCCUACAAGUAGUUAGAGCCCGUUAAUGGGUGAUAGCGUGCCUUUUGUAGAAUGAACCGGCGAGUUACGAUUUGUUGCAAGGUUAAGCGGAAAAAGCGGAGCCGUAGCGAAAGCGAGUCUGAAUAGGGCGCAUAAGUAACAGGUCGUAGACCCGAAACCAGGUGAUCUACCCAUGUCCAGGAUGAAGGUAAGGUAAUACUUACUGGAGGUCCGAACCCACGCACGUUGAAAAGUGCGGGGAUGAGGUGUGGGUAGCGGAGAAAUUCCAAUCGAACUUGGAGAUAGCUGGUUCUCUCCGAAAUAGCUUUAGGGCUAGCCUCGAGGUAAAGAGUCAUGGAGGUAGAGCACUGUUUGGACUAGGGGCCCUUCUCGGGUUACCGAAUUCAGAUAAACUCCGAAUGCCAUGUACUUAUACUCGGGAGUCAGACUGCGAGUGAUAAGAUCCGUAGUCGAAAGGGAAACAGCCCAGACCACCAGUUAAGGUCCCCAAAUAUAUGUUAAGUGGAAAAGGAUGUGGGGUUGCUUAG